rnacentral:rRNA from 1 species
AACGAACGCUGGCGGCAUGCCUAACACAUGCAAGUCGAACGAGACCUUCGGGUCUUGUGGCGCACGGGUGCGUAACGCGUGGGAACCUGCCCUUAGGUUCGGAAUAACUCCCCGAAAGGGGUGCUAAUACCGGAUAAAGUCUUCGGACCAAAGAUUUAUCGCCUUUGGAUGGGCCCGCGUUGGAUUAGCUAGUUGGUAGGGUAAAAGCCUACCAAGGCGACGAUCCAUAGCUGGUCUGAGAGGAUGAUCAGCCACACUGGGACUGAGACACGGCCCAGACUCCUACGGGAGGCAGCAGUGGGGAAUAUUGGACAAUGGGCGAAAGCCUGAUCCAGCAAUGCCGCGUGAGUGAUGAAGGCCUUAGGGUUGUAAAGCUCUUUUACCCGGGAUGAUAAUGACAGUACCGGGAGAAUAAGCUCCGGCUAACUCCGUG